GUGUCAGCAGCCGCGGUAAUACGUAGGGGGCAAGCGUUGUCCGGAAUCAUUGGGCGUAAAGCGCGUGUAGGCGGCCCACUAAGUCCGCUCUGAAAGCCCGGGGCUCAACCCCGGGAGGCGGGUGGAUACUGGUGGGCUCGAGUCCGGAAGAGGUCAGUGGAAUUCCCGGUGUAGCGGUGAAAUGCGCAGAUAUCGGGAGGAACACCAAUGGCGAAGGCAGCUGACUGGGACGUGACUGACGCUGAGACGCGAAAGCGUGGGGAGCAAACAGGAUUAGAAACCCGAGUAGUCC
rnacentral:rRNA from 1 species